CAGUAGCCGCGGUAAUACAGAGGGUGCAAACGUUGUCCGGAAUUACUGGGCGUAAAGCGAGUGUAGGCGGUCUCAAAAGUCAGGUGUAAAAGCCCUGGGCUCAACCCAGGAAGUGCACUUGAAACUGCGAGGCUAGAGUACUGGAGAGGUUGGUGGAAUUCUCGGUGUAGAGGUGAAAUUCGUAGAUAUCGAGAGGAACACCGGUGGCGAAGGCGGCGACCUGGUCCUUGACUGACGCUGAGGCGCGAAAGCGUGGGGAGCAAACAGGAUUAGAUACCCCCGUAGUCCCUGUCUCUUAUAC
rnacentral:rRNA from 1 species